UGCCAAUCCUCGUAGCGCUCCGCGUCCUCGAUCCCGCGGCCUCGCCCGUGAUUUCCGGAAAGAUUCCACCCGAAUCACGCCUUAUCAGGAAGAAUGGGUCAGUUCAAAAAGAAAAAAAAAACGGAUCGUAGCAAGCGCCGCCGCUCCUCCCGAUCGCCCCGAGCCGACCCCGCCUCCGGUCGCCGCCCACGCACCUGCAAGCCGCCGCCGACGUCCUCUGCCGGGCUCCGCCGGACCGUCCCACGCGACUGCCGGCCUCCUCCCGGCCAGACCGACGAUGGCGACGACCGGAUCUGACCGGUCGCCUCCGUUUCCGCCUCGCCUAGCCGCACCACUCAUCCGCCCCACCUCUCCCAGCCAGCCCCGCCGCCCCCUCCCUGCCGAGCCCCCUGGUGGUGGACGGUGACAUCUCACCUGGACUGGAUUGGAGAGUUGCAUCCAAUCAGGCCUCCCUCCUCUCCACUAAGUGCAUCUGAUUCUGAACACAGAGUUCUUCACGAUGCUGAUUAGUUUGCUUGUGGAUGUGCUAUUUUUACGCAGGUAAUUUUCAAGUCUCUGACGCAAGCCAUUUGUGUGAGCGCUAAUUAACUUAUAUGGUAAAACUCUAUGGGAUGCUCCGACAAUAAAACUAUUUUAGAAGACACGGCAAUAUUUUACUAUAUGAAGUGAAAAUGUACAAGUUGUAGAUGGACAACUAUGGCAGCUCUUCUAUACAGUUAUUUACUGUCCAGCGAGGCCCUCAGAGGAUAUCUAAAGAAGUGAGAAUGUACACCUUGUUUUUCUAGGCGAACAUGACUUGGAUGAGUCAAUAGCAUAGUAGCCAUAGUUAUCUAAAAAGGGCAGUGUCCCAGGCAACAAGGUAAAUUGUUCUGCUGUCCAAUGCAUUGAAGCUAUAAUGCAUAUAUGCUUAGUAAAUUGUUUAGAUUUGUCUGAGACUAAAAUAAUGACCAACUUAGUGAAUUGUUAAACCUGAAAGUUUGUGUUUUCCAUUUAACACAGUGAAUUGUUUGCACAAUUCAGUUCCGUGUUGAUUGAAUGGACGUGACGUGAUGUUUUCUCCAGGGAACGGACUGAAGUGGAUUGACAUGGUUUCUGUCCAUCAUGCAGUUAUGUGCUAUUCUUCCUUGCUGCAGUGUUGCGCAUCUUUGCUGCUGUGGCUGACUCCAUGAAUAUGAAAGCUAUAUUUACUCCUAAGCUAUGAGUGUCCUCUAACUUCCUUGCAUGAGAGGUAUUUGCUCUCAGUCCCGGCCAUCCUUAUUACGAGGGAUGCAGCAAGGUUCAAUGGAUCAUGACGUUUGGACUAGAUUUGAAUCUAUAUCUACCAAAUCUGUGCGUACAUUUUUAUGCUAUAAAUUUCUUUUUCUUUCAGUAUCCUAUUGAAGUUCUAUCAGCCGACAGGUGCAUUGAAGCGAGCCUGACACCCUGAAAGAACUAUACAAUGAUAUUUGGCUAUUGCUUUCAGUAUUAGAGAAGCAUAGAAACUGAACUGCAGGGCUUACUGUAUUUUCAUGUGGCAUUCCUCUAUGCCAUCAUGCCAUACUGUUUAUUUUGAGCAACCUUUCUAUGGUAUUUUGUUGGACAGUUUUUAGUGUAAUCUCAGGCACCUCAAUAUAUGGUAAACAACUGCAUGCUUGGGUAUAUGUUCUAUUCUCAAUGUUGUAUUCCUUUUAUUUGCUCUGUUACUGUAGCAAUCAAAAAGAAUCGGGCACAAGCUCCAGUUAGUCCUGUACAAAAAUUGGUGUAGAAGUGUGGUCUAUGGAUUCCUUAUUUUGUCGAUUCAGACUUGGGAUUGUAGGGAAAAGUGUGGACUAUGGAUAAAUACCAGAACUGGAUUGACCAUGUCACAUCUUCACCAAGAGUCAUGGCACUGGCAUAUUCAAGCUUUGUUGUUUCCUUCGUUUCCAAGCAACAGUACUCUUAAAGGCAAUAUAUGCAGGUUUAUCAUUCA